GUUACCCUAAAACUGAUGCUACUCCAGAAUUCCGAUGGAUAUGUCUGGACAUAGACAAAUGACAACUUUGAUUAGAAAAAUAACUUUUCAGAAAUUGUUCACUGGUUUUGCCAUGUACUUAAAUAGAGGCUCACGAUGUCUAAAAGAGUCGACAUGGUUUGGUGGAUAUUGGGCUUUGUUGCUUUCACAACUUCAGUUGGAGUGAAAGCCUAGACCCAGAAAUGUGCUUAAAAAUGGCUGACAAAUAAAUGCGGGAUGUUCUACUGC